ensembl:lncRNA
CACCCAUCCCCAGUCAUGCAAUCUAUGAGAUGCACCAUCAGGUUCAUCCCGCUCACCAGGUUCAUCAACACCACCAGGUGCAACAGGAACACCAGAUGCAUCCAGUCCAUCAAAAUAAACCAAGUCGCCAGUCUCAGUCUAUCAAAGUGCACCAAAGCCAUCACUCACACCAGACUAUUCAGACUCAACUCUCUAGCUCCAUGGAUAGGCUUGAUAGGAUUGAAAGAAAGGAACGCUCGGAUAGACAUUUCUAUGACAUGCAGCCCCAGCCAUUGCAUCCAGAUCAAGAAAUAUACCAUGCUUAUCAGAUGCAUAAGAGUCAUCAGGCUCACCUCUCAAGCUCCAUGGAUAGACUUGACCGAUUGGAGCAGAUCCAGCGUUUGGAACGCUUGGAGCAUAUGGAACGAAUCGAGAAACUGGAGAGGGCGGACAGACAAAUGCACCGGGCACACAUGGCUCAUACAGUUUCUCAAGCUAUACAACCAUCUCAGCAGACUCAGCAACAGUACCACCACCAGAUGCAUCAAGCUCAUCAAGCCUGCCCACUAACUCAGUCGCCUCCGCCAACCCGCCACAUUCCUCAGAUUGAACACAUACACCAGGUUCAGCCAAUCCAGUCAGCUCCUCAGUACCACCAGAUCCAUCAGCCCCACCCACCUCUCCAGACCCAACAGAUUCUAUCUACUUUCCAGCCUCAUCCUUCACAACAGCAGCAACAGCAGAUGCAGCAGCAACAACAACUUCAGCAGCAGCAACAACUUCAACAACAGCUUCAGCAGCAGCAACAGCUUCAGCAACAGCAGAUUCAGCAGCAGAUUCAGCAGCAGCAACAGCUUCAGCAACAGCAGAUUCAGCAGCAACAGCAGAUUCAGCAGCAGCAACAACAUCGCUCAACCCCACAGAUUCCCCCCAUUGCACAGGCCAGACAGAGCCCGCAACCCAUGUACCACGAUCAUCGUCACCACCAUCACCAUCACGGCCACCAUGAGGCCCAGUCCCAAAUGCAACCACCAAGUACACCCCAACCUCAAACUCACCACCCUAAUGAAUGUUCCAAUGUGGAGCCACCUCCACCUCCACCUUUACCCCCACCUUGCAUGCCUCCUCCGCUCCCAAAGGCCUCACCGCAAAAAUCAGAUUCCAGUCAUAUGAGUGUAAAGCGGUUACGAUGGGAACAAGUGGAAAAUUC